rnacentral:rRNA from 1 species
AUUGAACGCUGCCGUGCGGCUUAACACAUGCAAGUCGAACGGUAACAUAAAGAAGCUUGCUUCUUUGAUAACGAGUGGCGGACGGGUGAGUAAUGCUUGGGAAUCUAGCUUAUGGAGGGGGAUAACUACCGGAAACUGUAGCUAAUACCGCGUAAAAUCCGGAGAUGAAAGUGUGGGACCUUCGGGCCACAUGCCAUAAGAUGAGCCCCAGUGGGAAUAAGUAGUUUGUGAGGUAAAGGCUCACCCAGCCGACAAUCUCUAGCUGGUCUGAGAGGAUGACCAGCCACACUGGGACUGAGACACGGCCCAAACUCCUACGGGAGGGAGCAGUGGGGAAUAUUGCGCAAUGGGGGCAACCCUGACGCAGCCAUGCCGCGUGGAUGAAGAAAGCCUUCCGGUUGUAAAGUUCUUUCCGUAGCGAGGAAGGCGUUUAUUUUAAUAAACUGGAUGAUUGACGUUUACUACCGAAGAAGCACCGGCUAACUCCGUGCCAGCAGCCGCGGUAAUACAGAGGGUGCGAGCGGUAAUUCGAAUAACUGGGCGUAAAGGACACGCACGCGCGGACUUAAAUGAAGUGGGAAAGACCCGGGCUUAACCUGGGUAUUGCAUUUCAUACUGGGUCGCUAGAGUACUUUAGGGAGGGGUAGAAUUCCACGUGUAGCGGUGAAAUGCGUAGAGAUGUGGAGGAAUACCGAAGGCGAAAGCAGCCCCUUGGGAAUGUACUGACGCUCAUGUGCNGAAGCGUGGGGAGCAAACAGGAUUAGAUACCCUGGUAGUCCACGCUGUAAACGAUGUCGAUUUGGGAGUUGAGCUUUAAGUUUGGCGCCCGUAGCUAACGUGAUAAAUCGACCGCCUGGGGAGUACGGCCGCCAGGUUAAAACUCAAAUGAAUUGACGGGGGCCCGCACCAGCGGUGGAGCAUGUGGUUUAAUUCGAUGCCACGCGAAGAACCUUACCUACUCCUGACCUCCAGAGAACCUUCCCGAAAUGGAUUGGUGGCCUCCGGAACUCCGAAACCAGUGCCUGCUGGCUGGCCUCCACUCCUGGUGGGGAAUGGUUGGGUUAAUUCCCGCACCAAGCGCACCCCUAAUCCUUUGUUGCCAGCAAUUUGGUCGGGAACUCAAAGAAGACUGCCGGUGAUAAACCGGAGGAAGGGGGGGAUGACGUCAAGUCAUCAUGGCCCUUACAAGUAGGGCUACACACGUGCUACAAUGGCGUAUCCAGAGGGAAGCGAGAGUCCGAGCUGGAGCGAAUCUCACAAAGUACGUCUAAGUCCGGAUUGGAGUCUGCAACUCGACUCCAUGAAGUCGGAAUCGCUAGUAAUCGCAAAUCAGAAUGUUGCGGUGAAUACGUUCCCAAGCGU